GACGAACGCUGGCGGCGUGCUUAACACAUGCAAGUCGAACGGAAAGGCUCUGCUUUUGUGGGGUGCUCGAGUGGCGAACGGGUGAGUAACACGUGAGUAACCUGCCCUUGACUUUGGGAUAACUUCAGGAAACUGGGGCUAAUACCGGAUAGGAGCUCCUGCUGCAUGGUGGGGGUUGGAAAGUUUCGGCGGUUGGGGAUGGACUCGCGGCUUAUCAGCUUGUUGGUGGGGUAGUGGCUUACCAAGGCUUUGACGGGUAGCCGGCCUGAGAGGGUGACCGGCCACAAUGGGACUGAGAUACGGCCCAGACUCCUACGGGACGCAACAGUGGGGAAUAUUGCACAAUGGGGGGAAGCCUGAUGCAGCAACGCCGCGUGCGGGAUGACGGCCUUCGGGUUGUAAACCGCUUUCGCCUGUGACGAAGCGUGAGUGACGGUAAUGGGUAAAGAAGCACCGGCUAACUACGUG
rnacentral:rRNA from 1 species